rnacentral:rRNA from 1 species
GUAGUCCUGGCUGUAAACGAUGUCGACUUGGAGGUUGUGCCCUUGAGGCGUGGCUUCCGGAGCUAACGCGUUAAGUCGACCGCCUGGGGAGUACGGCCGCAAGGUUAAAACUCAAAUGAAUUGACGGGGGCCCGCACAAGCGGUGGAGCAUGUGGUUUAAUUCGAUGCAACGCGAAGAACCUUACCUGGUCUUGACAUCCACGGAAGUUUUCAGAGAUGAGAAUGUGCCUUCGGGAACCGUGAGACAGGUGCUGCAUGGCUGUCGUCAGCUCGUGUUGUGAAAUGUUGGGUUAAGUCCCGCAACGAGCGCAACCCUUAUCCUUUGUUGCCAGCGGUCCGGCCGGGAACUCAAAGGAGACUGCCAGUGAUAAACUGGAGGAAGGUGGGGAUGACGUCAAGUCAUCAUGGCCCUUACGACCAGGGCUACACACGUGCUACAAUGGCGCAUACAAAGAGAAGCGACCUCGCGAGAGCAAGCGGACCUCAUAAAGUGCGUCGUAGUCCGGAUUGGAGUCUGCAACUCGACUCCAUGAAGUCGGAAUCGCUAGUAAUCGUGGAUCAGAAUGCCACGGUGAAUACGUUCCCGGGCCUUGUACACACCGCCCGUCACACCAUGGGAGUGGGUUGCAAAAGAAGUAGGUAGCUUAACCUUCGGGAGGGCGCUUACCACUUUGUGAUUCAUGACUGGGGUGAAGUCGUAACAAGGUAACCGUAGGGGAACCUGCGGCUGGAUCACCUCC